rnacentral:rRNA from 1 species
AACUUAUGGCCCUUGCGAACCAGUCCCGUCGCUUCGGCGAUGUUGUGACGGGUUCGCGGGUCAUCGUUCUGGAGAGCUCGUCUGCCCUUCACUGGGUUGGGCGAUGCAAUCCAGAUCAUUUACUGUGAGAAAAACAAGGUGUUCAAAGCAGGCCGUUGGCUUGUAUGCGUUAGCAUGGAAUAAUAAGAUAGGACUUGGGUUCUAUUUUGUUGACUUCUAGAACCAAAGUAAUGAUUGAUAGGGAUAGUUGGGGGUGCUCGUAUUUAAUGGUCAGCGGUGAAAUGCUCGGACCCAUUAAAGACGAACUACUGCGAAAGCAUU